AAGUCGUAACAAGGUUUCCGUAGGUGAACCUGCGGAAGGAUCAUUACCGAGUUCACGGGGUUCCUUCUCGGGCCCCAAACUCCCACCCCCUGUGUACAUCACCUUGUUGCUUUGGCGGGCCUGCGCCGCAAGAAGGCGCUGCCGGCUCGGCUGGUCCGCGCCCGCCAGAGGACCCCCAAACUCCUGUGUUAAACGUAGCCGUCUGAGCCUGAAACAAAACAAGUUUAAAACUUUCAACAACGGAUCUCUUGGUUCUG
rnacentral:misc_RNA from 1 species